rnacentral:rRNA from 1 species
UGGGGAAUAUUGCACAAUGGGCGAAAGCCUGAUGCAGCGACGCCGCGUGAGGGAUGACGGCCUUCGGGUUGUAAACCUCUUUCACCAGGGACGAAGCGGAAGUGACGGUACCUGGAGAAGAAGCACCGGCUAACUACGUGCCAGCAGCCGCGGUAAUACGUAGGGUGCGAGCGUUGUCCGGAAUUAUUGGGCGUAAAGAGCUUGUAGGCGGUUUGUCGCGUCUGCUGUGAAAGACCGGGGCUUAACUCCGGUUCUGCAGUGGGUACGGGCAGGCUAGAGUAUGGUAGGGGAGACUGGAAUUCCUGGUGUAGCGGUGAAAUGCGCAGAUAUCAGGAGGAACACCGAUGGCGAAGGCAGGUCUCUGGGCCAUUACUGACGCUGAGAAGCGAAAGCAUGGGGAGCAAACA